rnacentral:rRNA from 1 species
UACGGGGGGGGCAAGCGUUGUUCGGAAUUACUGGGCGUAAAGGGCGCGUAGGCGGGUGGUCAAGUCUCUCGUGAAAGCCCACGGCUCAACCGUGGAAUUGCGGGGGAUUCUGUCUGUCUUGAGUCCGGGAGAGGAGGGUGGAAUUCCCAGUGUAGCGGUGAAAUGCGUAGAUAUUGGGAGGAACACCGGUGGCGAAGGCGGCUCUCUGGACCGGUACUGACGCUGAGGCGCGAAAGCUAGGGGAGCGAACGGG